CGCGAAUGGCUCAUUAAAUCAGCUAUGAUUCAUUGGAUCUGUACCCACACUUACUUGGAUAACUGUGGUAAUUCUAGAGCUAAUACAUGCACCACGUCUCUGACCGCAAGGGAAGAGCGCUUUUAUUAGUUCAAAACCGGUCGGGCCUCGGUCCGUCACCCCACCGUGUUGAAUCUGAAUAACUUGUCGCUGAGCGCACGGUCUCCGCACCGGCGCCGCCUCUUUCAAGUGUCUGCCUUAUCAGCUUUCGAUUGUAGGUUAUACGCCUACAAUGGCUAUAACGGGUAACGGGGAAUCAGGGUUCGAUUCCGGAGAGGGAGCCUGAGAAACGGCUACCACAUCUAAGGAAGGCAGCAGGCACGCAAAUUACCCACUCCCGGCACGGGGAGGUAGUGACGAAAAAUAACGAUGCGAGACUCAUCCGAGGCCUCGCAAUCGGAAUGAGUACACUUUAAAUCCUUUAACGAGGAUCUAUUGGAGGGCAAGUCUGGUGCCAGCAGCCGCGGUAAUUCCAGCUCCAAUAGCGUAUAUUAAAGUUGUUGCGGUUAAAAAGCUCGUAGUUGGAUUUCAGUUCUGGACUGACGGUUCACCGCCCGGUGCACACUGUCACGCUCCGAACAGCCACAACAGCCCGCUGGCUCGCACGGGGUGCUCUUCAUCGAGUGUCCCGCGUGGCCGGCAGAGUUUACUUUGAAAAAAUUAGAGUGCUCAAAGCAGGCUACACUGACGGCCUGAAUGCCUAUGCAUGGAAUAAUGGAAUAGGACCUCGGUUCUAUUUUGUCGGUUUUCUGAACCCGAGGUAAUGACUAAUAGGAACAGGCGGGGGCAUUCGUAUUGCGACGCUAGAGGUGAAAUUCUUGGACCGUCGCAAGACGAACUACUGCGAAAGCAUUUGCCAAGGAUGUUUUCAUUAAUCAAGAACGAAAGUUAGAGGUUCGAAGGCGAUCAGAUACCGCCCUAGUUCUAACCAUAAACGAUGCUGACCAGCGAUCCGCCGGCGUUAUUCCCAUGACCCGGCGGGCAGCUUCCGGGAAACCAAAGUCUUUGGGUUCCGGGGGAAGUAUGGUUGCAAAGCUGAAACUUAAAGGAAUUGACGGAAGGGCACCACCAGGAGUGGAGCCUGCGGCUUAAUUUGACUCAACACGGGGAACCUCACCAGGCCCAGACACCG
rnacentral:rRNA from 1 species